rnacentral:rRNA from 1 species
GGGCUGCAGUAUAUUGACUGUACAAAGGUAGCAUAAUCAUUAGUCAUUUAAUUGGUGACUUGUAUGAAAGAUUGGAUGAAAUAUAAACUGUCUCUUAAUUAAUUAUAGAAUUUAAUUUUUUAAUUAAAAAGUUAAAAUAAUUUAAAAAGACGAGAAGACCCUAUAGAGUUUAAUAUAUAAUUUAAUUAAGAUUAUUUAUAAAUUUAUUAAUUAAAAUUAUUUUAUUUAUUUUGUUGGGGUGACAAAAAAAUAUAAUUAACUUUUUUUAUUAUUUUAACAUAUAUAAGUGAAUUGAUGAUCCAAUAUUAUUGAUUAUAAGAAAAAAUUACCUUAGGGAUAACAGCGUAAUUUUUUUUUUUAGUUCAAAUAAAAAAAAGAGUUUGCGACCUCGAUGUUGGAUUAAGAUAAAAUUUAAAUG